rnacentral:rRNA from 1 species
CAGCAGCCGCGGUAAUACGGAGGGAGCUAGCGUUGUUCGGAAUUACUGGGCGUAAAGCGCACGUAGGCGGUUAUUCAAGUCAGAGGUGAAAGCCCAGUGCUCAACACUGGAACUGCCUUUGAAACUAGAUAACUUGAAUCCAGGAGAGGUGAGUGGAAUUCCGAGUGUAGAGGUGAAAUUCGUAGAUAUUCGGAAGAACACCAGUGGCGAAGGCGGCCCACUGGACUGGUAUUGACGCUGAGGUGCGAAAGCGUGGGGAGCAAACAGGAUUAGAUACCCCGGUAGUCCCUGUCUCUUAUAC